rnacentral:rRNA from 1 species
ACCCGCACAAGCGGUGGAUGAUGUGGAUUAAUUCGAUGCAAACGCGAAAACCUUACCCACCUUUGACAUGGCAGGAAUCCCGAAGAGAUUUGGGAGUGCUCGAAAGAGAACCUGCACACAGGUGCUGCAUGGCUGUCGUCAGCUCGUGUCGUGAGAUGUUGGGUUAAGUCCCGCAACGAGCGCAACCCUUGCCAUUAGUUGCUACGAAAGGGCACUCUAAUGGGACUGCCGGUGACAAACCGGAGGAAGGUGGGGAUGACGUCAAGUCCUCAUGGCCCUUAUAGGUGGGGCUACACACGUCAUACAAUGGCCGGUACAGAGGGUAGCCAACCCGCGAGGGGGAGCCAAUCCCACAAAGCCGAUCGUAGUCCGGAUCGCAGUCUGCAACUCGACUGCGUGAAGUCGGAAUCGCUAGUAAUCGUGGAUCAGCAUGUCACGGUGAAUACGUUCCCGGGUCUU